AAUUUCCGUCUGAUAAGGAGUCAACGUGGCAGAUAAACUUUUGUUUAAUUUUCUGCCCAAUUGCUUGCUUCCGUGACUCGCUCUGUCGCCAUGUCGAUGCAUGCAUGCCAACCUAAAUUUCCAUCUUAGAGAAAGUCAAUAUUCGGCGGAUUUCUGUUUUUAAGUCUUUUUUUUUUUUCCUCCUUUACGUCUCCCUGACCGUCACAUUUCCUCUAUCAAUAUAUAGUGGCUGCUAAAGUAUUAAAGGGGUCAUGAAGGAAAUUAACAAAGCAAUGUCCCUACUUUACCAAGUCAAAAACAGACAAAGAUCGAAGCAGACUGAAAGUUCUGCUCAGUUUCCUGUCAGAUUCGCAAAAGUAUCAUUGGCAUGUGGGUUUUCCACACUUUCCCUUUAAGUGGUCUCCCUUCGUUCUUGUUAAUUACUAUAUGAAAUUGUCUGCAACGGAUUUAACUUGGCUUCAUCCACAACGAAGAGAUCUUAAAAACAACAAAGAGUUCACCAGCAUGCAGGGACCAAAGAGGAACAGUAAUGCCGAAGCAGUUGGGGGGGGGGGGUUCUUGGCAUUAGCAAUUGCUGGGCUGCUUGUUGACAGUCUAAAAUUUCCACAAACGUGAUUCACAUAGUCUACCCAUUAUCGCAAACAGUAGCCUAUAGUUGGAUUUGAACCAUUGUUUAAUAGAACAAGAUUUGGCUAAAGCUGAAAAGGCUUUAUUAUUUUUGUCUUUGGCCUUUGGAAAUGUUAAGCAUUUUGAACCCCACUAGUAGUUCAUUAGCCCUUUUCUUUCUUUUCCUCCUUUUGUUGGUAUUAAGUGCAAUUUAUUUGGUAUGGGUAGUACAAUUUGUAAGGUACUUUUGGUCCUCUCAUUUCUGGCAAUUCCCCCUUUUAUAGAGAUAUGCUAUUUGAUUAUAACAAAGACCAAGACCUUGAUGUUAUUUGGGGAAUCUGUUUCUGAUAUUAGAUCAU